AUGGAUUCUGUUGCAGGAAGACUGCGUUGUGGCCAUAAGGCUUUCAGGCACAUGCCCCAGCAGCUCCGCUUCGCAUCAAGCAGAAGGGAGAAAACAACCAUGCAUCUUCAUGGCCACACUCUUGUGCUGCUGCUGCUCUGUUUUGCUUCUCCCAUAAGUUCCUGCACGGAGCAUGAGAGCACCGCACUCUCUGACUUCCUAGGCAGGCUUGUGCCGUGCGGCAACGAUGGUCUCAACGUGUCAUGGGUGAAUGGCACCGACUGCUGCGAAUGGGAAGGCAUCGUCUGCAGCAGUGAUGGCACAGUCACAGAUGUCUUGUUGGCUUCCAAAGGCCUCAGAGGGGCCAUCUCACCAUCCCUUGCCAAUCUUACAGGGCUCUUGCACCUCAACCUAUCCCACAAUUAUCUUGAAGGCAGCCUACCAGUGGAAUUGUUGUCCUCCAGAAGCAUCGUCUUCCUCGAUGUCAGCUUCAACCGCCUCGAUGGUCAUCUGCAAGAGAUCCAAUCCUCAAAUCAUAGUUUUCCUAUCAAGGUGUUGAAUAUCUCAAGCAACUCCUUCACAGGACCGUUCCCGUCCAAAACAUGGAAGGCUACGAAGAGUCUGGUUGCUCUUAGUGCAAGCCACAACAGCUUUGAAGGACCCAUAUCGUCUUCUAUCUGCAUCAAUGGCCCAUCAUUUGCCAUGCUUGACCUCUCACAUAACAAAUUCAGUGGCAAUAUUUCUCCGGGGUUUGGCAGUUGCGCCAUGCUGAGAGUGCUAAAGGUUGGCCACAACAACCUUACCGGACCUCUCCCCGAUGGACUAUUCAAUGCUACCUCACUGGAGCACCUCUCUUUGGCCAACAAUGGUUUGCAGGGUGUUCUUGAUGGUUCCAGCAUAGUCAAAUUAAGCCGUCUGACUGUCCUUGAUCUUGGAAUGACUGGUCUCAGUGGCAAGAUUCCAGACUCUGUCGGCCAGCUAAGAACAUUGGAGGAACUCUACUUGGACAACAACAAUAUGUCUGGUGAGCUGCCAUCGGCACUAGGUAACUGCUCAAAUCUCAGAUACAUUACCAUCAGAAAUAACAGCUUUAUCGGGGAUCUUAGCACAGUCAAUUUCACCAUGUUGGAUCUGAGGAUAGCUGAUUUUUCGAUAAACCUCUUCACUGGUCCAAUUCCUGAAAGUAUCUACUCAUGCAGCAAUCUAGUUGCGCUGCGGCUGGCUUACAACAACUUUCAUGGCCACUUCUCACCAAGAAUAAGCAAUCUCAGGUCCCUCUCCUUCUUUUCAAUUACCAACAACUCUUUUAAAAAUAUCACAAAUGCACUUCAGAUGCUCAAGAGCUGCAAGAACCUCACCUCCCUGCUUAUUGGAACUAACUUCAAGGGUGAAACCAUACCACAGGAUGAAACAAUUGAUGGUUUUGAGAAUCUUCAGGUACUGACCAUAGAUGAUUGCUCAUUGGUUGGGAAAAUUCCUCUUUGGAUAUCAAAGCUUGAAAAAUUGAAAAUGAUAGAUUUAUCAGUAAACCAACUCAGUGGACCAAUACCAUCCUGGAUUGAUGAACUGGGCUUCCUAUUCUACCUAGACAUAUCAAGCAACAACCUUACAGGGAAUAUAGAAAUUGCAUUGACAAAGUUGCCGAUGCUGCUAUCAGGGGAAAAUGUUGCGAAGUUGGGCCCGAAGUUCCUUGAGUUGCCUGUAUUUUGGACACCAUCACGUCAAUACCAGAUGGUCAGUGCUUUUCCUAGAAUAUUGUUUCUAGACAACAAUAAUUUCACUGGUAUAAUUCCCCCUGAGAUUGGUCAGCUAAAAUUGCUCAACGGCCUCAAUUUAAGCUCCAAUAGCUUAACUGGUGAAAUACCACAAGAAAUCCGCAACCUCACAAACCUGCAAAUGCUUGAUCUGUCGGACAACCAGCUCACAGGUGCAAUACCAUCUGCACUGAAUGAUUUGCACUUCCUUCCUACAUUUGAUGUUUCCAGCAACAGGCUAGAAGGACCAGUUCCAACAGGAGGACAGUUUCAUACAUUCUCAAAUUCCAGCUACAGUGGGAAUCCAAAGCUAUGUGGACCUAUGCUCAGCCUCGAUUGCACCUCCACGGCAACAGAUCAAACCUCUGCUUCACGGCGUCACAACUUGUGCUUUGCGCUAGUCAUUGGAAUCACCUAG
rnacentral:rRNA from 1 species